UACGUAGGGAGCAAGCGUUGUCCGGAUUUAUUGGGCGUAAAGAGCUCGUAGGCGGCUUAGAAAGUCAGGUGUGAAACCUCCAGGCUCAACCUGGAGACGCCACUUGAUACUUCUAUGGCUUGAGUUCGGUAGGGGAACACGGAAUUCCUGGUGUAGCGGUGAAAUGCGUAGAUAUGUGGAGGAACACCGAUGGCGAAGGCAGCCUCCUGGGCCAACACUGACGCUCAUGCACGAAAGCGUGGGGAGCAAACAGG
rnacentral:rRNA from 1 species